GCUUAUAAAUUAGACAGAAAUGUACAAUUAUUUGAUAAUUUUAAACGAUUGACUGCAGUUCCUGACCUUCACGUGUGUGAAUCGGCUUGCGCAUCACAGGAAACGGAAGAGUGCUGGACCAAUCAGAAAGUGCGCCACUAAGAACAGUAAAUUCCAUUGGAUGUGGGGACAUGCUACAACACCAAAACAUUUUGUUAUCAAGCUUUAUCGACUUUAUCCAUAUUGUCAUUAUAUGCAAUAUGUUUCUCUAAGAUACCGAGGCUCAGACACUGCAAGCAGGUUCCUCAAUGGCUGAUGCACAGAAUGAAUGAGACCCUGAGGGGAUGAAGUCUUGAGUCUGCUCUGCGUGAGGAAGUGUAUCUGCCAGAGGGAAGAGUCUGCGAACUGUGUUUCAAUCUCAGAAUGUGGUGGUUGGAUCUACUGGAGCUCAUAGAGCAAGUCCUGAACAGUCACCGACAGCUCCUGAAAGGUGGGUCUCUCGUCCGCCUUCUGCCAGUCAAUGCAAGAGGAGAGACAAGACAUUAGAAUCUGUCAAGCUGACAUGUCCAUUCCACUGACAUUUAUCUUUGAACCCCACUCAUCUAGCCUGAUCCCUGAACUGUGUUGUUUUGCAAACUUGGUUUGACAAUGACCAUGAAAUUUGGCAAGACAGAAUAUAGAGAUCUGGGACCAGGCAUUAUGCUGGCUACUUUAUACUGUACGUACAUCCAGCCAACAGCUGGUCAUGAUGGUGUAGACUCUGUCGUUGGCCAACUGGGGGCGAUAGAGGCGAUGGCCUCGGGACACCUGUUCCACUAUCUCGUUGUUGUUUAACCGUUCGUAGGGAAGCCUCCCUAAGGUGUAGACCUCCCACAUUAAGACCCCUAUGGAGAGCAAGGUAACCUUGUCAAUAUUUAUUAAAUGAUCAGCAGAGGAAUAAAUAGUUAAUGAAUAAAGGUUAAAUAGCUGUAGCCUGUUCCCAGAUCUGUUCGCUCUCGCCAACUCAUAUGGCCAUUGGUGUGAAAACAACCAUACCGAGUUGACAAGACAGCUCAAACAGACCUGGGACCUGGAUCUGAGGUAAGAUAGGAGGCCUAUACAAACCAUAAGCCCAGAUGUCUGACUUGCUGCUGAAUUUACAGUAGAGCAGGACCUCAGGAGGAGACCAGCGCACUGGGAACUUGGAGCCUGCAGAGCUGGUGUACUCAUCAUCCAGGACAUACCUGAAAUGACAGGGAGAGUUGUCAACUUGUCAUGAAAGUAGCUCGAAUUACAUAAUAUUGCUGUAAGAAUCAACUAUAGAUUUUAUUUAUUUGUCAGGUAUUUCUGCAGAGUGUGUGCUUUUUUGUAAAAGUUUCCAGAUUCAAGUACAACAAUCACAGUCGUUUACCUCGACAGUCCAAAGUCAGUGACUUUAAUGGUCCCAUUGGUAUCUACCAAGCAGUUUCUUGCAGCCUGAGAAAAAGAACAGAGUAUGUGUUAUUUGGGCCCAGUAAUGUUUAGUAUAGGAUAGUAGUAGUACCAUGUCAGGAUCAGACCUGCUGUGUCUUUCAAAUACGUGAGCUGCGCUUGAUUUAGUUUGAACAAUCAGUGUAUAGUCCCAAAAGGGAGUCAGUGGAAUAGUCCCAAAAGUGGAAAUGGCAGAAUCCAAGCUAUUUGACUUAUAAGUAUGUGAUGGAAAUGUUUAUCAUGUGAAGAGACAGCCUUGAAAAUGUUAAUCUUGUCUUAGUGUCGUAAAUAAUCCUUGGUUCCUGCCUGUGCUUGGUAAAGAUAUGAGGGGAGGGGCGACAUGACCUCCUCCUUAGGACCAUCUGGCAGAACUCCCAGAAAAUGCUCUAUAAGUUAAGAUAGGAGACGGUGCCAGACACAUGCCGGAACCAAUCCUAUGAACUAUAUCUAUGCAACGUGUCUGUAACCAGUAUAUAAGGAUCUAACAGGACUGCCCCAGGUAGAGCUCCUGAUCGACAUCUGUACUUGGUGCAUUGAGUUGGUUGGAACCUCUCCAGCGCGCUGAUAAUAAACAAUGAAUAAUUUAAGAUUGA